GAUGAACGCUGACAGAAUGCUUAACACAUGCAAGUCAACUUGAAUUUGGGUUUUUAACUUAGGUUUGGGUGGCGGACGGGUGAGUAACGCGUAAAGAACUUGCCUCACAGCUAGGGACAACAUUUGGAAACGAAUGCUAAUACCUAAUAUUAUGAUAAUAGGGCAUCCUAUAAUUAUGAAAGCUAUAAGCGCUGUGAGAGAGCUUUGCGUCCCAUUAGCUAGUUGGAGAGGUAACGGCUCACCAAGGCGAUGAUGGGUAGCCGGCCUGAGAGGGUGAUCGGCCACAAGGGGACUGAGACACGGCCCUUACUCCUCCGGGAGGCAGCAGUGGGGAAUAUUGGACAAUGGACCGAGAGUCUGAUCCAGCAAUUCUGUGUGCACGAUGAAGUUUUUCGGAAUGUAAAGUGCUUUCAGUUGGGAAGAAACAAAUGACGGUACCAACAGAAGAAGUGACGGCUAAAUACGUG
rnacentral:rRNA from 1 species